rnacentral:telomerase_RNA from 1 species
AUUUGUGGUUAAGUGCUGCGUUAUUUGUGACAACACGUUGUGCUUUAGGCACAGUUGAAACAAAUUUAUACAAAACUAACAAAACUCAUUCUCACCACAAGGUGUUUCUUCCCAGUUCUUUCAUCUUCGAACAAAAAAGAAAUUGGUCGCUCGCAGCCUUUACUUUU